GGCUAACAAAAUUUGUCUAAAAAAUAAAGGCAUGUGCUUACGCAGCCUAUAAGUAAAGAAAAGACCCCUGCCAUAAUUUGAGGAUUUACAGUAGGCCUAGAUGAGUAGGCCUAAAUAAUAGGACUACAGCUAUUUUAUAACUCA